rnacentral:rRNA from 1 species
UACAGAGGUCCCGAGCGUUGUUCGGAUUCACUGGGCGUAAAGGGUGCGUAGGUGGUGAGGUAAGUCGGAUGUGAAAUCUCCGGGCUUAACCCGGAAACUGCCAUUGAUACUAUUUGUCUUGAAUACUGUGGAGGUCAGCGGAAUAUGUCAUGUAGCGGUGAAAUGCUUAGAUAUGACAUAGAACACCAAUUGCGAAGGCAGCUGGCUACACAAAUAUUGACACUGAGGCACGAAAGCGUGGGGAUCAAACAGG